AAAAAGUAAGCAUUGCCUUCUUUACUAUAUCUUGUAUUUAUUGUACUUUUGCCUUAGGGGGUCUCUUCCUCAUUUAACAAAUGUCUGGAAACUUGGAUUAAGAAUUGGUGGAAUACCAGGCAAUUCGAAACUCUCUUGACUGAUAUUCAAGAGAAAAGGAUUCCAUAAAGAUUCAUAGAAUUAGAAGAACUUUCUCUCUUGGAUGAGAUGAUAAAAGAACCGAAGGAACAUGUACAAAAACCUCCUACAAGAACACACAAUGAAAUAAUACAAUGGGUCAAAAUAAAUAAUGAGGAUCAUCUCCAUACCAUUUUGCAUUUCUCGACAAAUAUAAUAUGGUUGGCUAUUCUAAGUGGUUCUUUUUUUUUCGGUAAAGAGGAACUUGUCAUUUUGAAUUCUUGGGUUCAGGAAUUCUUCUAUAAUUUCAAUGACUCAAUAAAAGCUUUUUUUAUUCUUCUAGUUACUGUUUUUUGUUGGAUUUCACUCCAAGCGUGGUUGGGACUAGUAAUUUGUUGGGUCUACAACGAUUUUGGAUGGGCUCCAAACGAGCUUAUUUUCACUAUUGUUUUGUAG
rnacentral:rRNA from 1 species